GGGGCGGUAGCUCAGUCGGUGAGAGGCGUGGACUCAUAAUCCAUUGGUCGCGGGUUCGAGCCCCGCCCGCCCCA
rnacentral:tRNA from 1 species